rnacentral:lncRNA from 7 species
UCUUGUUCUGGGGGUUCCUUCUCUGUGGAGUCUUUUCUCUGAACCUAGAUUUUUUUUUUUGGAUGUGAGUGAGUAUUCCUUCCCUGUUUGUUUCUUUUUCUAUUUUCACCACAAUAAUCUUUCCAGCUGUAGCACCAACUGUAACAGCUUCCAAUUAUCCUAUUGGACUACUGUGCUACACAAAAUCAUCAAGAAAUGUGUGGCUGAGCAAAUACUACCUCAGACUACUGCACAAUGCCAACAGCUGUUGAGCUCUGGGUCACAGAGUUUUCUUUACUGUUUUUAUGAACUCUUUGAUGGAGAUGGCAUGAUAUCUAUAGUUCUGAAAAUAACAUUGAGGAUGAAGUAUGUCCAAAUGCACCAGAAAGGAAGUGAUUGCAUCAAACAUACAAACACGUGUGAAAUGCCAGUUGUCCAGCAAGAUGGCAGAUGUGAUUGUGCAAAGUGUGUGUACAAGCCUGAACACAAAUGAACAAGCAUGAACAUACCACAUGAGAACUUGUAAAUAUUAUGAUUACUACAAAAGUAAUUUUAUAAAAAAUAAUACUUAUUUAUAAAAGUCCCCGCGUUUUGCUUAUAUGCAUUACAAUAAAAAUUGCCAUUUUCUUAAAGUAUUUGGGCAUAAUAAAGAAAGUUUUUUUUUUUUUUGUGAGAAAAUCUGACAUUUGAGAACUUGAUGUUAUCUUAAAUAUUAUAUUUAAUUAGAGGUAAAGCUUUUAUGCAAAGACACCCACGUGUAUAACAGACCUUAAAAACUUUGGAAUGUCUUUAUACUAUUACUUAGAAUAUUAGUAUUGAACUGAUGUAGUGAUUUUAAAAAGCACAUUUUAGUUUUUUUUAUUUUUAUAGUAGAAUUGGAAGAUAGCUACAGAAACAGUCAAACGUGAAUUAAAUUUAAAAGUAGACUGUUAAACCACAAAACAUCUGAAUAAUAUUCCUUUCAGGCAGAAUUAAGAUGACCUUAGCAUGCUUUAAAUUCUUCGUAUGAGUUAAUCUCAAAUGAGGCCACUUAAAAUAUGAAAAAGAUAUGUCUACAGAGGAAAGCACUACGCAGAUUAACUGAUACUCUGCAAUAACACUUUCAGUUCGUUGUGAUUCUCAAAAAUUAAUUAAAAUUGAGACAAACCU